ACGAACGUUGGCGGCGUGGAUUAGGCAUGCAAGUCGUACGCGUUUCAUCUGGGUAACUGGAUGAAAAAAGUGGCGAAAGGGGCAGUAAGGCAUGGAUAAUCUACCCUGAUGACCGGGAUAGCUGUCCCAACGGGCAGGUAAUACCGGAUGAGCUGGUGGGGCCGCAUGGUUCUGCCAGGAAAGGCGCAAGCCGUGUCGGGAGGAAUCCAUGUGAUAUUAGCUAGUUGGUGAGGUAAAGGCUCACCAAGGCGAAGAUGUCUAGCGGGUGUGAGAGCACGACCCGGGCCAUUGGCACUGGGACCACGGGCAGGACCCCACCGGAGGCCGCAGGCGGGGAUCUUCCGCAAUGGGGGAAAGCCUUACCGGGCGGCGCCGCGGGAGGGAUGAAGGCCAUUAGGGUGUAAAGCCCUUGUGGGGGGGAACAAGGCGGAAGGGUGGGUUAUCCCUUGAGGAAGCACGGGCUUAGUUCGUG
rnacentral:rRNA from 1 species